rnacentral:tRNA from 1 species
GAAAGAGGCCAGAUGCAACAAGAACUGCUAAUUCCUGUCCCCAUGGUUAAAAUCCAUGGCUCAUUCA